GUUUCCAUAGUGUAGUGGUUAUCACGUUUGCUUUACACGCGAAAAGGUCCCCAGUUCGAAACUGGGUGGAAACA
rnacentral:tRNA from 1 species